rnacentral:lncRNA from 1 species
AUGUGCAUAGCACAGGCAUGCUGCUAGUAUAAUAAGAAAUAUGACACUCCUCCUCCUCUCUAAAAUACUUAAAGCUUUUUCUUUUUUUCUUUGAGUGGCCACCGGCAGCAGCGCCUUUUUCUUUUCUUUUUCGCACCUACUCUUCUGUUAUUUUCUAUUCUCCUUCUCUCCAAAAUAUUUAAAGUCUUUUUUUUCUUUUCUAUGGGUGGCUACCGCGACAAAUCUUUAGCCGGUGGCAAUUCCUUUUUCUUUUCUUCCUUUUCGCACCUGCUCUUCUAUUAUUUUCUAUUUAGCUUGUUAGUAUUUCUCCUUUCUAUUUUGUUUUGCUAUCCCCAAUGGAUCUUCUCCCCAAUAUGCUUUUGGCCUCUUUCUCAAGAUAGAUCUAUGGAUCUGUUCUUGCUUUGGUUUCUACCUAGGGUCAUCUGAGCUUCUCAAUUUGGGGCAACCACUCAUAGAAAGUAUCGACAAAAAUUCUCUAUUGAAGGGAGAUAUGGUUCAUCCUCUACAUCAAGAUGGGUUUAUGCACUAGAUCUUUUUUUCUUAAAGAUCAACUCCAAACUCUGGAAAGCCGCUGCAAAGGAAGUUUGGCACCAUGCCGCAGCAGCGGUUGCCAGUGGGUUACUCCCCCUUCCCUUAGACAUAGGGUAUUUUAACAACCUCAUUUUUAUUCUAAACCAAUCUCGUAUGCUCUUGGUUGUGCUAUAUUACUUUUCCUCUUAUACUCUCGUUUUAUGAUAUUAAUAUAGGAAAAUGCUCAUUUUGGCCCUUCAACUUGGUCCCCAAAAUCAAUUGACCUAUAUUUUAACUUUAAAGCCAAAUUUCUCCAUUAGUUAGUAUAUUAUAACCCAAUAGCUCAGACAUUCAGCUGUUCAGCGCAUAUGUAAUAUAAUCAAAAUCCAAAGAAGGUGAUGUAAUAUAAUCAAAAUCCAAAGAGGGUGAGAGAACAAAUUCAAAGCUGAAUCUCCACACCAAUAAUUCAGUUACCAAAUAUUAUUGUUGAGAGGGAAAAAUAAGACAAGCUGCCUCCUUCUGUAAUAUGAAGUUGGCACAAUUGAGGUAAAAAUCAAAUUGGGGAAAAAAUAAAUUUUUCUUUGAUAUUCAGAAACAAAACCGAAAUUGACAGUGACUCUCUCAUUUUUCUCGAUUUUGACGAUAAGUAGUUUUUUUGUCUUUGUUUCUUUGUUAACUAAAAGUAACUCGGGAAAAAUAUUUUUUUAAUUUCUUGCUAACUGAAAAAAACUCAACAAAAUUGUUUAUUUGUUUGCUUGUGGUGUGAUCUACAUUGUUUCAUUGGAUUGUUUUAUGUCUCAUGUAUUGUAGCCCAUAUUUUCUGCUUUGAUAUCGAUCUUCCUAGUGAUAAGUGAAGGAUUGUUCCUUGUACUCCUUGUUGGUUUUUUUUGUAAAGUCUUUCAAGUUUGUGAUACACCCGCUUGCGAGUUAUAGUGUAACAAGGCUUUCGAUAAUGCUAUACCUCUGAUUCUUUAACCCUUGUGUUGGUAGAGGUUGUUAUUUAACCUUGUAGACUCUGACCAGUACUCGUUGCUAUUUCUUUUACAUUGUAUGCUUUGAUAUCGAUCUUCUUAGUGAUAAAUAAGGUGUUGUUCCAUGUACUCCCUGCUAUUUUGUUUUCUAAAGUCUUUUAAAAUUGUGAUACAUAUACUCGCUUGCGGGUAAGAGUGUAACAAGGUUUCAAACCACAUUUACAGUAUCGAACCACUCUCUCAUAAUCAUACUCUAGAUGAGAAUCUCCAUUAUUACGAAUGUUGGGUGAGCUUGAAUAUCGGCCUCCAGACACCGAGCUUCCCUGACUCUCUUAUCCUCACUCUCUCAUUGAUUAAGGAUUUAUUUUAGGUUAAGGGUUUUGGUUUUUGAUAAUUUAGGGAUUUUGAGAUACAAAGGUAGCAUUUUAACUGUAAUUAUGUUAAUAGAAUGUUUUCAUCUUUAAUAUUUAAAAAAAAAAAAAUCUUUGACCACUUGUGAAUCACGCUCUCGUACCAGCUGAAUGUGUGAGCUAUUUGAUUUUAAUAUGCUAACUAAUGGAGAAAUUUGGCUUAAAAGUUAAAAUAUGAGUUAAUUGAUUUUGGGACCAAGUUGAAGGCCCAAAAUCAACCUUUUUCCUAUUAAUGUAUUUUCCUUGUUUGUGCCAAAAAAAAAAAAAAAAAACUAAAAACAAAAAUGUUGAAGAUAAAAUAACAUCUUUCUUUCUCUCUCUUUUUCUUAUCUCCCUCCACCAUAUCCUUGCUCCUCUAUAAAAGAUCUUCUUCAAAGCGCAACUGGUUCGCCCUCGUGUGGCUAAG